rnacentral:rRNA from 1 species
UAAAACCGAAAUCGCGGGUGUAUAUUUAUAUAUACGCGGUAGGAGAGCGUAGUAUUCAGCAGUGAAGGUAUACCGUAAGGAGUGCUGGAGCGGAUACUAGUGAAGAUCCAUGGCAUAAGUAACGAUAAAGGAAGUGAAAAUCUUCCUCGCCGUAAGCACAAGGUUUCCAGGGUCAAGCUCGUCUUCCCUGGGUUAGUCGGCCCCUAAGUCGAGGCACAAAUGCGUAGACGAUGGAGCAACAGGUUAAAUAUUCCUGUACCACCUAAAACUUUAGCAAUGGAAUGACGGAGUACGUUAAGCACGCGGACGAUUGGAAAUGUCCGUAUCACAAUGAGACCGGUUAGUAGGCAAAUCCGCUAACAUAAGGUUAGGUUGUGGUUAAGGGAAAUCUUCGGAGGAACUGAUAGUGUGGCGCAAGGCUUUCAAGAAAUAAUUUCUAGCUGUUGAUGGUGACCGUACCUAAACCGACACAGGUGUGCGAGAUGAGUAUUCUAAGGCGCGCGAGAUAACUUUCGUUAAGGAACUCGGCAAAUUAUCCCCGUAACUUCGGAAGAAGGGGAGCCUCUUAGGGUGAUUGCCUUUACGGCAUGAGCUCCGGGGGGCCGCAGAGAAAUGGCCCAGGCGAC